rnacentral:rRNA from 1 species
GAUGAACGCUAGCUACAGGCUUAACACAUGCAAGUCGAGGGGCAGCAUGUCGGUUGCUUGCAACCGACGAUGGCGGCCGGCGCACGGGUGAGUAACGCGUAUCCAACCUGCCUCUUACCAGGGAAUAACCCGUCGAAAGGCGGACUAAUGCCCUAUGCCCUCCGCGGCAGACAUCUAAUGCGGAGGAAAGAUUCAUCGGUAAGUGAUGGGGAUGCGUCUGAUUAGCUUGUUGGCGGGGUAACGGCCCACCAAGGCAACGAUCAGUAGGGGUUCUGAGAGGAAGGUCCCCCACAUUGGAACUGAGACACGGUCCAACCUCCUACGGGAGGCAGCAGUGAGGAAUAUUGGUCAAUGGGCGGAAGCCUGAACCAGCCAAGUAGCGUGCAGGACGACUGCCCUAUGGGUUGUAAACUGCUUUUAUGCGGGGAUAAAUGACACUACGUGUAGUGUUUUGCAGGUACCGCAUGAAUAAGGACCGGCUAAUUCCGUGCCAGCCGCCGCGGUAACAC